ensembl:lncRNA
GCUACACACACAUACACUGGCAAAGAUGUUCAGCUGUCAGGCAGAUACUGGAAGACGUUUCUGAUUGACAGAGAGAGGGCUUUGCAUACGUUCUUUGUUGCCUUUUUUUUUUUGUGGGACUAGAACAAAAAAUACCCCGGAACGUAGAAGAACUGUAUUAACCGAUUCCAAUGCUUUUAAAUGAACGGUUCUGUUCCCAGAACAGUAUAGAUCACUUUCAUUCCCGGUUCUGAUUCUGUUCCUUAAAUUUGUUUGUUAUUUUCCGGUUUUCGGUUCUUUUCCCUGAACCGGUUCCAUCCCACGUUACCAACAGCUGCAAAUUCAUAUAAAACCACAUGUUUUGAAGUUCAUUUCCUUGCUUUGUAGAACAAUAUUAUCAUGAAUCUAGCAAAUAAGUUUUGUGGGUCAGAGGUCAAUAUUUAUUUAGUUUCAUAGCACAAAUGUAUGUUAGCGCGUUUCUCAGACUGGCUUUAGCCACGGAUGGAGCAGGCCUGUCCUGGCAAGUGCAGGGAUUUGUGAAUCUGUUAGGAGCGAACCGCAAGCGCCACAGCUGAAAUGGUAAAAAUAAAUAAAUAAAAUGAUUCCAGCUUUAAAUGGAUCAUCCAGAUUAGCUGUUAGCUUUUGUUUUGUUCUCAUCUAAUACUAACAAAUUACAGUAUUCUAUCAUCCUGACAAUAUGGUACUACAGAGAAGAGAGGUUUAGGAGAGGUGUAGGAGAGGAGGAGAGGAGGAGAGGAGGAGAGAGGAGAGCAGUGAGGAGGAGAGAGGAGUGGAGGAGAGAGGAGAGCAGUGAGGAGGAGAGAGGAGUGGAGUGGAGAGGUUUAGGAGAGGAGAGAGGAGAGGAGUGGAGAGGAGGAGAGAGGAGAGGAGUGGAGAGGAGAGAGGUAUGGAGAGGAGAGGAGUGGAGAGGAGAGAGGUUUAGGAGAGGAGAGAGGAGAGGAGUGGAGAGGAGAGAGGUUUAGGAGAGGAGGAGAGAGGAGAGGAGUGAGGAGGAGAGAGAAGAGGAGUGGAGAGGUUUAGGAAAGAAGAGAAGAGGAGAGGAGGAGAGAGGAGAGGAGAGGAGGAGAGAGGAGAGCAGUGAGGAGGAGAGAGGAGUGGAGUGGAGAGGUUUAGGAGAGGAGAGAGGAGAGGAGUGGAGAGGAGGAGAGAGGAGAGGAGUGGAGAGGAGAGAGGUAUGGAGAGGAGAGGAGUGGAGUGGAGAGAGGUUUAGGAGAGGAGAGAGGAGAGGAGUGGAGAGAAGAGAGGUUUAGGAGAGGAGGAGAGAGGAGAGGAGUGAGGAGGAGAGAGAAGAGGAGUGGAGAGGUUUAGGAAAGAAGAGAAGAGGAGAGGAGGAGAGAGGAGUGGAGAGGAGAGAAGAGGAGAGAGGAGUGGAGAGGAGAGAGGUAUGGAGAGGAGAGGAGUGGAGAGGAGAGAGGUUUAGGAGAGGAGGAGAGAGGAGAGGAGUGAGGAGGAGAGAGAAGAGAAGUGGAGAGGUUUAGGAAAGAAGAGAAGAGAAGAGGAGAGGAGGAGAGAGGAGUGGAGAGGAGAGAAGAGGAGAGAGGAGUGGAGAGGAGAAGAGAAGAGGAGGAGAGGAGUGGAGAGGUUUAGGAGAGGAGAGGUGGAUGACUGGAUAUUUUAGGCAGACAGGGAUAAUAAAGCCUUGGUUGUAUCACUACAGAAGCUGGAGACAGGGAGCGAUGGAGGAGGCGGUACUGAUGAAUUAUUUAUGUCUGGCCAAAGCAUCCAAUUUCCGUUUCAUUCUUUCACAGGGAGUCUGGGACUACUAGCCAGAGAGCUCUGUGAUAUCCCCCCCCCGGCUUGCCUAAUGAUUUAAGUGUUUGUAAUGAGGUUUGGAAGAUGUAUCUGUAGCAAUGAUUUUUUUAAGGAAUAAUAAAUAUUCUUAUAUUUUUCAGCUGUUAUUAAUCAUAGGAUAAGUUGUGCCUUGAAGCCCCAUGUUGUAGACCUACAGUGAGUACUGACGACGUCAUCAAAGAGAGAAAUAAUAGCUAUGUCGUUUGUGUACUUCUCACUGUUGCUCAGCCUCAUUCAUUACAAGUGAUGGAUUGAACCCGUGAUGGAACUCGAAGCAUUCUUUUGGAAUCGACGCUGAGAUUUGUUCAAUUCACAACACUCUGUAGCAUUUUUCUACGUUAGAAAGAGCAAGGUCAGUUUUAAUAAUCUCCUCCUGUACUCAAUGGAUCCUUUGUAGUCUUUACUAUGUGUAGUGUUGAAUAGUGAUGGCUGUAGUGUUGAAUAGUGAUGGCUGUAGUGUUGAAUAGUGAUGGCUGUAGUGUUGAAUAGUGAUGGCUGUAGUGUUGAAUAGUGAUGGCUGUGUAAAUGAAGGCAGUCAGAUCAGAUGCUGCAGUGGGCUGAGGAGAGGAGAGGAGGGGAGGGGAGAGAAGGGGAGGGGAUAGGAGGGUCAGGAGAACAUGCCCUGCAUCCUGACGAAGCUCGAGGCUGCUGCCAGGAGAGGACAG